UUGUCAUGCUUUAGCCAUUCAAAUCUCACU
rnacentral:piRNA from 1 species